UUUGUUUUAAACUCCGGACGGGUUUUUUUCUCCUGCUCUUGGGGGGGACCCGGAGGGAGCGGCGCCCCCCCCCACUCCCGGCGCUGCCCCCGCGUGCGCCCUGCUCGCCCGCAGCCGAGACGGCAGGCCUCACAAUGUAGCAGAGUGUUCCCGGCUGCCAUCUGCCAUGUACAGAAAAUGGGCAGAGAUCAAGGGACAGCAGGGAGGCGCAGACGUGAAGACCCGCAGGGCAGAGUGAAGCCGCAGGCGAGGACUGACAGCAUCAGAGCCGCAGCC